rnacentral:rRNA from 1 species
GAUGAACGCUAGCGGCAGGCUUAACACAUGCAAGUCGAGGGGCAGCGUGGAGCAGCAAUGCUCUGACGGCGACCGGCGGAAGGGUGCGUAACACGUGAGCGACUUGCCCGUCACAGGGGGAUAACCGGCGGAAACGGCGACUAAUACCCCAUACGAUGUGAUGCUGCAUGGCAUUGCAUUGAAAGAUUCAUCGGUGGCGGAUAGGCUCGCGGGACAUUAGCUAGACGGCGGGGCAACGGCCCACCGUGGCGACGAUGUCUAGGGGUUCUGAGAGGAAGGCCCCCCANACUGGGACUGAGACACGGCCCAGACUCCUACGGGAGGCAGCAGUGAGGAAUAUCGGGUCAAUGGGCGGAAGCCUGAACCAGCCAUGCCGCGUGAAGGCUAAGGCCCUACGGGUCGUAAACUUCUUUUAUAAGGGAAUAACAGACGUUACGUGUAGCGUUUUGCAUGUACCUUAUGAAUAAGCAUCGGCUAACUCCGUGCCAG